UAAACUACGAUUAGAUACCCUAUUAUUUUAAAUGUAAAGUUUUAGUACCAGAGUAGUAAUAGGUAUGUUCUUGAAACUCAAAGAAUUUGGCGGUGCUUUAGUCCCUUCAGAGGAACCUGCCCCGUAAUCGAUAUUCCACGUUAAAUCUUACUUAGUUUAGAAUAUCAGCUUGUAUACCGCCGUCGUCGGAAUGUCCUUUUAGGGUAAGAAUUUUCUUGGAUUGAAGAAUAAAAAAGAUGUCAGGUCAAGGUGCAGCUGAUGGCUAAGAGGAGGUGGGUUACAAUAAGUGUAUUUAUAUGGAUAAUAAUUUGAAAUUUAGUUGUUUAAAGGUGGAUUUGAUUGUAAUUUUAUAGAUUAAGUUGUUUUGAUUCUUGGCUCUAAAGUAUGCACACAUCGCCCGUCGCUCUUA
rnacentral:rRNA from 1 species